rnacentral:lncRNA from 10 species
AGAGACUCAUUCAGAGAGCAAGACUCUGGUCUCUGCCCUGCUUCAGCACCCAAAUCUUUAGGGAGCUGGCUGGUGGGCUGCCAGGCAGUUAGGCCUAUGGAGAGCUGCUGUCAGUCUCUCUAGGAGGCCAUGGUUUCCUGCAUGUGGGGGAGAGCCCCAUCCCCCAGACUCUGGAGUGAGUUUAAUUUCCCAAGGCAAGUCUGCCUGAUUGUCCUCUCCUUUCCUUACCUUCAGCACCAAGAAGUUUCCGGUCCCGGUACAGAUCAGUGAGGAAGAGGCUAUUGACAAGUGUGGAUUUGCCCAGGCCAGACUCUCCUGAGAGGAGAGAGGACAGAGGCACCAAAUCAGAAGGUAAGAUCUAUAGCCAAAAAGCAACUCCACUGGAUCAAGGUUUAGGGGGGACUGCUUUCUUAUCUAAUUGGAACUAGACUAACCAAACUAUAGCAUUUUAGAGCUGGGAGGAAGCACAGAGAUUGGCUUGGGGGAGCAAGAGAUUGCCCAGGGUCACACAAAAAGAGGCAAAUGCUAGGAAACUGUUGGUCAGAUGCUCUUUGCAACCAAUUCGAACCCCCACCCCCACCCCACCCCACAUACAUACACUCUCACAGGCCAAUGACUCCUGGCUGUUUUGCAAAACAGUACAGCCACUCGCUGCUUGCUCCCUGCGACCUAUACUCCCUUCCCACUCACGGACACACACACCAUCCCCACCUGAAACACACCCUGCCCAACCCAGCCCUGCCCCUUUUUUACCUGCCACCAUGAGGGUAAAGUCAAAGCCUUUCUUCACGGACUUUCGGUGGACUUGGUUGGGGAGGGUUGCAAAGCCCACAUACUCCUUGUCAUCCUAGUAGACAGGAAGGCAGAAUGCAUCACGGUGAGGAGCCAAAGGGGCCCCGGCACCCAGCGCCAAUCUUCUCUCCCUUUCAGGCCUUUGCCCCAGCCUUAAAAAAGCAGUGCCAGACUUCUGUGAGUUCCCAUCUGAGGCCACCAGCUGGGCCUCCUGCCCUUGCUGAAACUGCAAAUUUCCAGUGCCCUUGGGGGCAGAUAUCUUGGAGCUAGGGCUGACACAGGACUGAAAUAGGUCCCAGAUACACACACACACAAACACACACACACACACACACACACACACACACACACACACUCUGCUCCCUGCCCCCGGUCUUCCUGCAGCAGCCCACUGAAAGGCAAAGGCAGGGCUGGAGGCUCUACCUCAGAGGAAUCAUAGGGAUCAAGCUUGCCCCAUGGGCUGCGGGGCCUGGCAGAUGGGCUGAGAGGGGCUGGGGCACAGAAGUACUGCUGGUUGUCAGAGGACUGGGGCCGCGAGGGGGGUCUGAACUCCAGGUCAUCAUCAUAGAGGUCCGGGGCCUGGGGCCUUGGCUCCGGGACUUGGGGCCUGGAUGCCCAGGUCUUAGCCUCUGGUGGGUGGCAGCUCGCAUUUCCUGAGAAAUCCUUCACGAACUUGCUCAGUUCUCCAUCAUCCGUGGUGUCCUCCAGGAAACGCUUGAUCUGGGGGAAGCGGGGUGGGUAGAAUAGAUGGGUGGUGCCGGGAAGGGAGCCGGAAGGGAAGAAUGAGGAAGGAGACAGAAGACAGGAGAAGGCAAGAGGGAAAGGGAAAGCACUUGUGGUUAGAAGAAAAAGAAACUGCAGCCAAGACAGAGGAAGUGCUCACCAUCCCUCCCUCACCUGCUCACAAGCCUCCCCAAUCCAAUAUGCCAGGAAGGGUCCCAGGGUCCAGGAAGAGCCCUGGGCACCCCCAGAGCCCUGGCAACUGCUCUUGGGAACUAAGGAACUCCAGUUCUGGUCUCCUUCUCAGCAGCAUGUUUUUUGAGGCUGCCUUUCCUGGGGUUCUGGCCUAGCCAGGGACUGUCUCAGGCCAGGAAGUAAGGCCAGACUGAUUAAGAUAGAGCAGACAGAGGCAUUAAACCCAAAAGGAGAGUACAGUGCAUCAGAAUGGGGCAGGGACAUGAGGGAAGUAGGCAGGGGAGAAGAAAGCUGACUGCAUCAGGCAGGUCAACCAGCAGGGGGUUCUGUACCUCCUGUCACUACUGGUGAGCUGGGGGACUGGG